CCUGUUAAAAAUACAAAAGCUAUCACUUUGGAACGCACUGCCUUGAUAAGAACUAAGCCAAAACUGCGGACUAGCCAUUUGACUGAUUCUUGGGCAUUCCUCCGUCACUAUAGGACAGAAACCCUGAACAGUGAUUUAAAGCCUAGUUACAGAUUAGGGACCCAAAAAAUGGUUGGUGGGAAGGGUACCACAAAAAUACUGGACAGAGAGGCAGAUGGGGUGAGUGGGAGAAAGAAACAAGAAUAAGAAACAAAAAAGUCUUAUCUAAAAUUACUGGAUAAACCCAAAUUCCAAAAACAAUAAAUCCUUGAAGAAAACCCAAGCCAAUUUUGGAGUUUCCGACAAGAUUCAGAGGCUGAAUGGAUCAGACAGGUUUUGUUUGGUAUUUAGGAUUAUUGACUCUAACCUGAAACUUAAUGCAAAUUCAUGGGACGCAAACUCCCUACAAAUUGAAGAGAAGCAAAUCCUAAAGGCCCGUGAGCCAUCUGGAAUGCACAUGCUCAUGUUGAGGCUUUCCCAUCGCAAUAACACGGUGGGGACGGGAAGGCCAGGCUGGCAAGUCCUCACUGUCACCAACUCUAUAACGUGGUGCUUUUGCAUCUCAUGGGAAUUUGAAUCAUUGGUGAUUCGAACUGAAUCAAAUGGUGCGACACAGAGGUAAGAACAAAGUGGCACCUGUGGGUAAUAUUCUAAACAAUGUGAAGUCCCCCCUUCAAUGUAAAAACUUGUCAAUGCUUGCAAAAUUUCAAGAUGGGUGGGCUGAGUGACCUGCAGACCACAUGUGGGUUCAUGCCUAGGAAAGUGUUGCUUUGAGUGGUUAACAGAAACACUGGCAGUCUUUGGUCAGCAGAAACCAUCACCCAAGCCUCCACCAGGGGUUUCUGUAGCGGUUGUGCCCUCACUUUAAAUGUGACAGUUGUUAAGAAUUAAAAUCUUUUGGGGCACCUGGGUGGCUCAGUUGGUUAAACGUCCAUCCAAGUCUUGAUUUCAGCUCAGGUCAUGAUCUCAGGGUCCUGAGAUGGAGCCCGCAGUGGUGAGUCGGCUUGAGAUUUCUCUCUCUCUUCCUCCCUCUCCCUAUGCCCCUCCCCCUGCUUGUUCUCCUCUCUCUCUCUCUCUCUCUCUCUCUCUCAAUAAAUAAUUUUUUUUUAAUUAAAAUCUUCUGAAU
rnacentral:lncRNA from 12 species